GGACGAGCCAUCUCUCCCCCUACCUCCUGGUGAUGUUUGGAAAUCUUAAUUUUGUUUUAUAGGUCACAGGUCAGCCCAUCCAUGCCGAUCCUUGUAAUUGGACAGGACGUGCUUUGUGUGGUCUGAUUACAUCUUUUCUUUCAGACCCAAGGGGAGCCGUCAAUUAGAGCCGUGCUUGAGCCUAAGGCUGACCUGAACCGUUUGAAGGCAGAUCUUCCAUGGAGUGCCCCGGUCCUUUUCUGGAAAGGUCAAAGGGAUGAGAGGGGUCUCUGCAGUGUCCUGGAUCUGGUUUCAACCUCACCUUCUCCAUGUAUGAGAAGACAAGUCACUUGGAUUCACCAUGCCUCGGUUUCCCCAGAUGGCAAGCAGGACUCAGCCUUUUGUACCUGGUCCAUCAGAGGACGAGCUUUCACGUGUUAGCCAACACCUCCGUCAUCACCAUCAUUGCCAUGAUCAUCGUCCUCAUCACCUUGACACGCUGAGCUUUGUAGCUUAAAAACAAAAUGCCUUUAACAAUGUGCAACAGGUCUAAGAUGCCACCUUUGGGAUCAGAUGGGAGUUUGGGAUUAUUUCUAUUUUCCAAUUGUUCAGCCCCCUCCCACUAAGUGCGAAGCGGAGAGCCAUUAAGUUGCAAUGGAUUUGAUUCACCACGUGGCCCCUCAAAUCCUUUCUGGAACAAGAUUGGAUGUAAAAAUAAAUCAAAUAAAUGCAUUUUCAGCGUGUGCAGCCCAGCC
rnacentral:lncRNA from 10 species